rnacentral:rRNA from 1 species
AGCGAACGCUGGCGGCAUGCCUAACACAUGCAAGUCGCACGGGGGGGCUUCGGCCUCCCAGUGGCGGACGGGUGAGGAACGCGUAGGGACCUGUCGAGGGGUGGGGGAUAACCGCGGGAAACUGCGGCUAAUACCGCAUGACGCCGCGGCGUGACAGCCGGGGCCAAAGGCGAAAGCCGCCCGCCGAGGGGCCUGCGUCCGAUUAGCUGGUUGGCGGGGUAGCGGCCCACCAAGGCGUCGAACGGUAGCUGGUCUGAGAGGGUGAUCAGCCACACCGGGACUGAGACACGGCCCGGACUCCUACGGGAGGCAGCAGUGGGGAAUAUUGGACAAUGGGCGCAAGCCUGAUCCAGCAAUGCCGCGUGGGUGAAGAAGGUCUUCGGAUUGUAAAGCCCUUUCGGCGGGGACGAUGGUGACGGUACCCGCAGAAGAAGCCCCGGCUAACUUCGUG